GCAGUCGAGCGGAUGAAGGGAGCUUGCUCCUGGAUUCAGCGGCGGACGGGUGAGUAAUGCCUAGGAAUCUGCCUGGUAGUGGGGGAUAACGUCCGGAAACGGGCGCUAAUACCGCAUACGUCCUGAGGGAGAAAGUGGGGGAUCUUCGGACCUCACGCUAUCAGAUGAGCCUAGGUCGGAUUAGCUAGUUGGUGGGGUAAAGGCCUACCAAGGCGACGAUCCAUAACUGGUCUGAGAGGAUGAUCAGUCACACUGGAACUGAGACACGGUCCAGACUCCUACGGGAGGCAGCAGUGGGGAAUAUUGGACAAUGGGCGAAAGCCUGAUCCAGCCAUGCCGCGUGUGUGAAGAAGGUCUUCGGAUUGUAAAGCACUUUAAGUUGGGAGGAAGGGCAGUAAGUUAAUACCUUGCUGUUUUGACGUUACCAACAGAAUAAGCACCGGCUAACUUCGUGCCAGCAGCCGCGGUAAUACGAAGGGUGCAAGCGUUAAUCGGAAUUACUGGGCGUAAAGCGCGCGUAGGUGGUUCACCAAGUUGGAUGUGAAAUCCCCGGGCUCAACCUGGGAACUGCAUCCAAAACUACUGAGCUAGAGUACGGUAGAGGGUGGUGGAAUUUCCUGUGUAGCGGUGAAAUGCGUAGAUAUAAGAAGGAACACCAGUGGCGAAAGCGACCACCUGGACUGAUACUGACACUGAGGUGCGAAAGCGUGGGGAGCAAACACGAUUAGAUACCCUGGUAGUCCACGCCGUAAACGAUGUC
rnacentral:rRNA from 1 species